rnacentral:rRNA from 1 species
UACGUAGGGGGCAAGCGUUGUCCGGAAUUAUUGGGCGUAAAGCGCGCGCAGGUGGUUUCUUAAGUCUGAUGUGAAAGCCCACGGCUCAACCGUGGAGGGUCAUUGGAAACUGGGGAACUUGAGUGCAGGAGAGAAGAGUGGAAUUCCACGUGUAGCGGUGAAAUGCGUAGAGAUGUGGAGGAACACCAGUGGCGAAGGCGACUCUUUGGCCUAUAACUGACACUGAGGCGCGAAAGCGUGGGGAGCAAACAGG